UUUCAGACUGAUACUUUCCAUCCAGGCCCUAGAGUUAUACUUUCCACCCUGGCACAAUUGGGUCUCCCAGAGCAGGAAUCCACUUUGUGGUGUGAUGUAGCACAAACGACUGGUGAAUUCAUCCGUUCCACUGCUGCUUCAGUGAAAAUGCUUCCAUCGAUUCCCUGUGAUACAUUGGAUUUUUUAGUGAAGAUCAAAUCAAAUGGAAAGUUCUCAACUUACAGAAAAUUGCUUGGUCCUUAAAGAGGAUGCCUACUGAUAUCUGGCAGCAAGAGGAAGAGGGACAAAGAAACUGACACCAAAGAGCAGGUGCGAUGUCAGCAAGGGUAAUUGUCUGAAGCUGCGUGGCGCAUGUAAACAAAUCGUGCAUCCUUCAAAGUGCUUAUGUCUACAGCACAUUAUGAGAACUGAUGGCCAUCAGGAUGCUUGGUGUUCAGUUAGGGACCAGAGCGAAUAGUGAAGAACAGACUCUGGAUCUAGACUUCCUGAGGUUCGCUCCCACCCUGGCACACAGCAGCUGAUGGUGGUCUGUGGCAUAGGCUACUGUAGGAAUGGAGCGGUC
rnacentral:lncRNA from 1 species